rnacentral:rRNA from 1 species
GAUGGACCCGCGGUGCAUUAGCUAGUUGGUGAGGUAACGGCUCACCAAGGCAACGAUGCAUAGCCGACCUGAGAGGGUGAUCGGCCACACUGGGACUGAGACACGGCCCAGACUCCUACGGGAGGCAGCAGUAGGGAAUCUUCCACAAUGGACGAAAGUCUGAUGGAGCAACGCCGCGUGAGUGAUGAAGGUUUUCGGAUCGUAAAACUCUGUUGUAAGGGAAGAACACGUACGAGAGGGAAUGCUCGUACCUUGACGGUACCUUACGAGAAAGCCACGGCUAACUACGUGCCAGCAGCCGCGGUAAUACGUAGGUGGCAAGCGUUGUCCGGAAUUAUUGGGCGUAAAGCGCGCGCAGGCGGCCUUUUAAGUCUGAUGUGAAAGCCCCCGGCUCAACCGGGGAGGGCCAUUGGAAACUGGAAGGCUUGAGUACAGAAGAGAAGAGUGGAAUUCCACGUGUAGCGGUGAAAUGCGUAGAGAUGUGGAGGAACACCAGUGGCGAAGGCGACUCUUUGGUCUGUAACUGACGCUGAGGCGCGAAAGCGUGGGGGAGCAACAGGAUUAGAUACCCUGGUAGUCCACGCC